rnacentral:tRNA from 1 species
GGGGAUUUAGCUCAGCGGUAGAGCGCUUGCCUAGGAAGCGCAAGGCCCUGGGUUCAAUCCCCAGCUCCA